AGCUGUAAUGGCUCAACGGAAGAAAUGACCUCAAUCUUUCUCUCCACUCCUGCUGUUGGCAACAACCCAACCGUCGGUGCCCGGUUCGAAUCCCGUGGUGGCCACCCACUCGCACAGGUAACUUGCGAUCGCUGCGCGUGGCCUUGAGACUGCUUGGACACCGCUUCAGCCGAGCAAUCGGGCAGAGCGACCGAGCCCAUGGGAUGGCGACUCCGGACUACAUUGAUGUGUUGGUGGGGUGUUGGGGAAGAGUUAUGGGGCUGUGACUUUCUUU
rnacentral:SRP_RNA from 1 species